rnacentral:rRNA from 1 species
GAUGAACGCUGGCGGCGUGCCUAAUACAUGCAAGUCGAGCGAACAGACGAGGAGCUUGCUCCUCUGACGUUAGCGGCGGACGGGUUAGUAACACGUGGAUAACCUACCUAUAAGACUGGGAUAACUUCGUGAAACCGGAGCUAAUACCGGAUAAUAUAUUGAACCGCAUGGUUCAAUAGUGAAAGACGGUUUUGCUGUCACUUAUAGAUGGAUCCGCGCCGCAUUAGCUAGUUGGUAAGGUAACGGCUUACCAAGGCAACGAUGCGUAGCCGACCUGAGAGGGUGAUCGGCCACACUGGAACUGAGACACGGUCCAGACUCCUACGGGAGGCAGCAGUAGGGAAUCUUCCGCAAUGGGCGAAAGCCUGACGGAGCAACGCCGCGUGAGUGAUGAAGGUCUUCGGAUCGUAAAACGCUGUUAUUAGGGAAGAACAAAUGUGUAAGUAACUAUGCACGUCUUGACGGUACCUAAUCAGAAAGCCACGGCUAACUACGUG